rnacentral:miRNA from 1 species
UCGAUUGGUGUCAGAGCCACG